rnacentral:miRNA from 5 species
AAUUGCACUAGUCCCGGCCU